CAGGAAUAUUGGUGCAGAAAUGGAAAUGAUGGAAAUGCACCCCAUUACAUCAGAUUAGUCAUUACAGUCUUACACAAGCAGAGUUUAUACCAGAAAUACAAUUCUCAUAAUUGAAAUUGAUUAACAUGCGUGAUUAACAUGGAUUCUUUUGCUGUGCUAGGUUUGCCUGCUGGCCACAGAGAAAGAAAAUCAGGAAAGGAAACCCCCUCAGAGUUACAAGAUCAGAAAAGAGAACAAUGCAAAAAAACUGAAUAUGUUUCCAGAUUUUUAUGGUAUGCUGCCAGCUCUGGCAUUGGUACCGAGUCAUGCAGUGUGUAGAAGCAAAGACAGAACAACACAAUUUCUUACAGCAUGAUACUCCACCUGGGAUGUGGGCAGAGGGCAGCUUAGACGAACUGGGUUCCCUUUGGCCUGGAAGCAGCUGAGUGGUGGCUGCUCAUCUGCAGCUGCUGGAGAGGUGGUGCAGAGGAAGAGUCCUUCCACGACCUGCAGAGCAUUUAUGUGAUGGUCCUGCAAGCCCGCAUCUCCUCUGGAACAAAAGGCACCUUCCCAGCUGCUAAUGUCACCAGGCUUCAGCACACAGCCUGGCUGAGAGGAGCACUUGGUGGCAUGAGGUGAUGCUCAGUGCACGAGUAGUUCCUCAUGCCAAACAUGGUGGAAGCAAGCACCUUCAGGAAGCGAACUACACUUUCUGUAGUGUGGGUUUGGGUGCAGCUGCAGCUUAAGUGUUGAAGCCUACAUCUGUUGUCAUGUGUUGGAGAGAAGGAAAAACCAUUCCUUGUUCCUUUUUGGAAAUGCCAGCGACACAGACAGUGAGAAAUUGCUUUUCUCGUGUCUUGGUCACUCCAUCAUGGAACAAAGCACAAGUCUGCUGCAAUUUAUACUCUGUAGCACUUUUUGCUAAUUAAUCCUGACCCCAAACAAAGCUAAGGAGAGAGAGAGAAGCAAGGAGUUAAAAUAAAAAAACUAGCGUUAUGCAAAUAGAAAAGAACAUCCCCCAGUGGCUUGCAGGAAAUCCUGGCACGAGCAGCAGAGCACAAAUACAACUGUUGAAGCAC
ensembl:lncRNA